rnacentral:rRNA from 1 species
CCUACGGGUGGCUGCAGUGGGGAAUAUUGGACAAUGGGGGCAACCCUGAUCCAGCCAUGCCGCGUGUGUGAAGAAGGCCCUCGGGUUGUAAAGCACUUUCAGUGAGGAAGAAUGCCUGGUGGUUAAUACCCAUCAGGAAAGACAUCACUCACAGAAGAAGCACCGGCUAACUCCGUGCCAGCAGCCGCGGUAAUACGGAGGGUGCGAGCGUUAAUCGGAAUUACUGGGCGUAAAGCGCGCGUAGGUGGCUUGAUAAGCCGGUUGUGAAAGCCCCGGGCUCAACCUGGGAACGGCAUCCGGAACUGUCAAGCUAGAGUGCAGGAGAGGAAGGUAGAAUUCCCGGUGUAGCGGUGAAAUGCGUAGAGAUCGGGAGGAAUACCAGUGGCGAAGGCGGCCUUCUGGACUGACACUGACACUGAGGUGCGAAAGCGUGGGUAGCAAACAGGAUUAGAUACCCGUGUAGUC